AGUGAACGCUGGCGGCAGGCCUAACACAUGCAAGUCGAGCGGCAGCGCGGGGGCAACCCUGGCGGCGAGCGGCGGACGGGUGAGGAAUUCGUCGGAAUCUGCCUUUUGUGGGGGAUAACGUAGGGAAACUGACGCUAAUACCGCAUACGACCUACGGGUGAAAGUGGGGGCCCGCAAGGCCUCACGCAGAAAGAUGAGCCGACGAGCGGUUAGCUAGUUGGUAGGGUAAAGGCAUACCAAGGCGACGCUCGGUAGCUGGUCUGAGAGGAUGAUCAGCUACACUGGGACUGAGACACGGCCCAGACUCCUACGGGAGGCAGCAGUGGGGAAUAUUGGACAAUGGGCGCAAGCCUGAUCCAGCCAUGCCGCGUGUGUGAAGAAGGCCUUCGGGUUGUAAAGCACUUUUGUCCGGAAAGAAAUCUUCCAACUUAAUACGUUGGGAGGAUGACGGUACCGGAAGAAUAAGCACCGGCUAACUUCGUGCCAGCCGCCGCCGUAA
rnacentral:rRNA from 1 species